UCCUGCCUCCCACCAGAGAGCAGCAGCCAGCUCCUCCUGGUCAUCAAGGCCAGUUAUCACCUGACAACACCCUUUCCUUGUCUGUUUGUCCACUGGCAUGAGUAGCCUCAUAUGAACCGAUGGCAGUUCAUAGCUCCUGGUGGAACUCCAGCUAGGUGCCUGCCCUGGGAGCCGGGGCCUCCAAUCCAGCAGAGUCUAGGGUCAUGAGACAGGAGCACGAAUUCCACAGGGGACCGCUGACAGGGAUGGUGGGAACAGAACCAUGCCCACUUCCACCCAGGUUAUACCUUUGCAAAGAAGCUGUGGGCCUGGGGCAGCCUCUUGCUUGGAAGGCAGGCCCUCUGCUCAUGUACUGCAAGCGGGGAUGACAGUGGGGCAGAAGGCAAGAAGAAAACACAAACAGGUUGGGACCAGCUGCCUGAGGCCUGACAGAGAAAUGCCCUCUUUUCCUGUGUGUGUUUUGUGCUUCUCACCGGCAGAGCAGCCAGCAUUUGAGACUUCAAUCAGGACAUAAGUCUUGGGGAAGAAGCCAGCAAGUCACCUGACCUGCCACCAGUCCAGCUCACCAGCUGAGGACCAGGUUAGGCCAAGUGCCCAGGGCUGCCACAUAUGCUGGACAUUUUGUGCAAAGAACAAGUCGUUAUUGGAUGGCAUUCCUGUUGGACAUCUUUGGGUGGAAAUGAACGAGGCUGAUCACUUCCAGGAGAGAAACAAUGAGCACCUAGUGUCCUUGGAUCUUUAUCUGCUGUAUCCUCUUAUAUCUCUUGUAGGACAGCCUUAUCCUCUUUCAUUCAGCCUUCCCAGGACAAGUGGCAGGGGGGUCUCAAAUCUCUGCUUUGACGUUUGAUGCCGUUCAAGGAGCAAUCUCAUUCAAAGAAAGGGCUGAGAAACGA